CCCUUAGAUGUUCUGGGCCGCACGCGCGCUACACUGUUCGACGCAGCGAGUCUUAACCUUGACCGAAAGGUUUGGGUAAUCUUCAGCAAAGUCGAACGUGAUGGGGAUCCAUCAUUGCAAUUAUUGAUCGUGAACGAGGAAUUCCUAGUAAGUGCAAGUCAUCAGCUUGCGCUGAUUACGUCCCUGCCCUUUGUACACACCGCCCGUCGCUACUACCGAUUGAAUGGUUUAGUGAGAUCUCUGGAUUGACGCUGGCUAGGGGGCGACCCUUGGCCAGACUGCUCGAGAAACUGCUCAAACUUGAUCAUUUAGAGGAAGUAAAAGUCGUAACA
rnacentral:rRNA from 1 species